UACGUAGGGUGCGAGCGUUGUCCGGAAUUAUUGGGCGUAAAGAGCUUGUAGGUGGUUUGUCGCGUCUGCUGUGAAAAUCCGAGGCUCAACCUCGGACUUGCAGUGGGUACGGGCAGACUAGAGUGUGGUAGGGGAGACUGGAAUUCCUGGUGUAGCGGUGGAAUGCGCAGAUAUCAGGAAGAACACCAAUGGCGAAGGCAGCUCUCUGGGACGGUACUGACGCUGAGACGCGAAAGCGUGGGGAGCGAACAGG
rnacentral:rRNA from 1 species